ACAGCAACAGGAAGUAACUGACACAAACGCCCAUAAAGAUGAAAAAGGUCUUGUGUGGAGCAGCGCUGUAUGCUCAUCCCUUCAUCAGAGUCAGCUGGAUUUUGCAAGGGAGGAAAGGAUCUACAUCUUCAAACCCUCCAGCCUGAGCUAGGCUCCCAGGACCCCACCCUCCUUCGCUCACACUUGCACGCGCAGGACCAGAGCCUGUGGGCCCUGGUGUACAUCUCCCGCCGAUGCAGAAUCUGCAAAUAGACGCCUCCUUCCACAACAUACCUCUCCACAAAGCCAACCCACUGAAACGGAGCUCAUUAUCUCCAGACAUCGCUGCGGCCAAAGGGCAGGCUAUGAUGCAGAGCAUCAUGGGAUGGCAGCCUUCAGUGGACAAUGACUUCGUGGUGGUCAGCAAGCCAAGAAGAGAUGAGCAAAAGACCCGGGUUGCCAGAAGAAUGUAAGUCAGCCUCGAAGACUGAGAAGGCAGAGUCACUACAUGGGCACCGGCACAGACCCUCCUGGCCCCUUGAGAUGAGUCUGUGCUCUGUCUCAAGUGACAGCCGUCCCACCAACGUAUUGUUCCCUGUCUUCAGAUAUUUGGACUCUACGAAGUACAGAGGCAGCGCAGAUUUUUAUCCUUGUGCAGAUUCUUCAAAAUGAACACAAGGUUACAUAACCCAAGAUGCACAGAGAAAUGUGCAGUGUGAUGGAGUUUCCAGGACACAGGCUGCAGACCAGUGAAUGGCCGACAUCAGCUGGCUUGGAGGGAGGUGCGCUGGAAUCUCCUGCAGUUCCUGACGGAAGUGGGCUGUUUCCACGGUUUAGAACCGCUCACAACGUGAGCUACUUUUUUUAGUCUUUUCAAGACAGAAGCUUGGGUCAAAGUCUUAUUCAUCUGUGGCAGAGGGUAAUAAAAACAGGAAGUCUGGGACCUGUCUACUGAGAAAAGAAAGCUCUUUCUCCUAAGUUGGGGACU
rnacentral:lncRNA from 1 species